CGGACGGGUGAGUAACACGUGGAUAACCUACCUAUAAGACUGGGAUAACUUCGGGAAACCGGAGCUAAUACCGGAUAAUAUAUUGAACCGCAUGGUUCAAUAGUGAAAGACGGUUUUGCUGUCACUUAUAGAUGGAUCCGCGCCGCAUUAGCUAGUUGGUAAGGUAACGGCUUACCAAGGCAACGAUGCGUAGCCGACCUGAGAGGGUGAUCGGCUACACUGGAACUGAGACACCGUCCAGACUCCUACGGGAGGCAGCAGAG
rnacentral:rRNA from 1 species